rnacentral:tRNA from 1 species
GAGGGUAUAGCUCAGUGGUUAGAGCACAUGCUUAGCAUGCAUGAGGGGCCCGGGGUCAAUCCCCAGUACCAUUA